GAUUUGUUGUUUCCAUAUUUUUUCUCCAGCCACUAACUAUAAUAUUCAUACUUUUAUCCUUGUAGGGUGCUUUACAAAUUAUUUUCAUCUGCAUUAUCUCAUUUGAUUCUCAGGGUAUCUGCGAAGGGCUGGGAUGACUAUUCCUGCCUGUCCAGUUGAAAAACAGAAGCUCAGGUCCUAGUAUCAUGGCCCUGAAAGAGAAAGACAUUUGCAGAGCUUGUGCAGUGAUCACCCAGCUUUGGCACCUGAUGAGCUACAUGCUAGAGGAGAACAAAGAAACCUCAGAGUGCUGUGGGUGUGGGGCUGGAGGAGAGUGCUGGACACACAGCCUGAAUCCUA
rnacentral:lncRNA from 1 species